rnacentral:rRNA from 1 species
GAUGAACGCUGGCGGCGUGCCUAAUACAUGCAAGUCGAGCGAACGGACGAGAAGCUUGCUUCUCUGAUGUUAGCGGCGGACGGGUGAGUAACACGUGGAUAACCUACCUAUAAGACUGGGGUAACUUCGGGAAACCGUAGCUAAUACCGGAUAAUAUUUUGAACCGCAUGGUUCAAAAGUGAAAGACGGUCUUGCUGUCACUUAUAGAUGGAUCCGCGCUGCAUUAGCUAGUUGGUAAGGUAACGGCUUACCAAGGCAACGAUGCAUAGCCGACCUGAGAGGGUGAUCGGCCACACUGGAACUGAGACACGGUCCAGACUCCUACGGGAGGCAGCAGUAGGGAAUCUUCCGCAAUGGGCGAAAGCCUGACGGAGCAACGCCGCGUGAGUGAUGAAGGUCUUCGGAUCGUAAAACUCUGUUAUUAGGGAAGAACAUAUGUGUAAGUAACUGUGCACAUCUUGACGGUACCUAAUCAGAAAGCCACGGCUAACUACGCG